UACGAAGGGAGCUAGCGUUGUUCGGAAUCACUGGGCGUAAAGCGCACGUAGGCGGAUGUGUCAGUCAGAGGUGAAAUCCCGGAGCUCAACUUCGGAACUGCCUUUGAUACAGCACGUCUUGAGUCCGAUAGAGGUGGGUGGAAUUCCUAGUGUAGAGGUGAAAUUCGUAGAUAUUAGGAAGAACACCGGUGGCGAAGGCGGCCCACUGGGAUCGGUACUGACGCUGAGGUGCGAAAGCGUGGGGAGCAAACAGG
rnacentral:rRNA from 1 species